AUUGAACGCUGGCGGCAUGCCUAACACAUGCAAGUCGAACGGCAGCACGGCAGUAGCAAUACUGUGGGUGGCGAGUGGCGGACGGGUGAGUAACGCGUGGGAACGUACCCUUUGCUACGGAAUAGCCUCGGGAAACUGGGAGUAAUACCGUAUGUGCCCUUCGGGGAAGGAUUAUCGGCAAAGGAUCGGCCCGCGUUGGAUUAGGUAGUUGGUGGGGUAAGUGGCCUACCAAGCCGACGAUCCAUAGCUGGUUUGAGAGGAUGAUCAGCCACACUGGGACUGAGACACGGCCCAGACUCCUACGGGAGGCAGCAGUGGGGAAUCUUAGACAAUGGGUGGCAAGCCUGAUCUAGCCAUGCCGCGUGAGCGAUGAAGGCCUUAGGGUUGUAAAGCUCUUUCAGUGGGGAAGAUAAUGACUGUACCCACAGAAGAAGCCCCGGCUAACUCCGUGCCAGCAGCCGCGGU
rnacentral:rRNA from 1 species